GAAAGAGCCAGGAUUGGAGAAGUCAGGGGGAGGAGAUGGAAGAGAACCAGAGAACCAGGGAGCGGCUCCACUCAGGGGGCACACUCGCAGCCAGGGCUCAUCACUCAUCUAUUCAGCUCUUCAUUCAGCAAACAUUCAUCAGGACCUCGGAUAUGCCAGGCACCAUGCCAGUCGCCAAGGAUCUAGCAGUGUGAAAACCGAGGCCUAUAAAGAUUACACAGCUUGCCUGAGUUCUCACAGUUGGAAAGCGGUAAGGCCAAGCUUCAACAACAGGACUCAGAUCCUAUUCUGU
rnacentral:lncRNA from 1 species